ACACACACACACACACACACACACACACACACACACACACACACUCAUUGUGAGAAGUUGAAGUAUGUUGUGAUUAUGCACUUUCACGGGUGCUGGGCAUUGGCAUGAAUGAAAGACACAAGGUGAAUCAUACUUUCUUUCGUUGGUUUGAACGAUGUUUCCACCCAGCCAAGUUACUGUUCUUGGAAGCCUGUGCUGUUUGGCGUUACAGCUCUGCUUGUAAUACAGCUUAAACAUACAUCUUGUCUGGUGUUAUGCUAAGUACCUGUAUUGACUAUAACCAAACCAAACCUUAGAAUCGGAAAAGAGAAUGUAUUUUAUUUAGUUAUUAUGUUAAUGAUUUCUCACCAUUGGCUAUGCACUUUCUACUGACUACGUUCAUCAUUGUACAUUUCCUAACAUACAGUACUGUACUGCACUAUGGACAGCUGCCAGACAUGUCGGCAGAUGAUGUCUUUCUUCUUGCUAACUUAAUAUAUAUCUUCUGCCCGUAUUCCUCCUACGGAUAGCUUAAUAACUCUGUAACGCCAUCAUUGUUUCUCUUGCAGUAAUUCGGCCUCUUAGCAUGUCUCAAAGUUUUGACUUGUCAGGUGGAGGAAUAUACUACAGCACUCCACAGUUGAUCCUUACACGUCAAGAUGUGUCCAGCCCUGAUGGCCGCAGGAAGACUACUAGCACCAUGACCCUCAGCAGUCUGUCCAAUGGGAGUCCAGGGACACCAGGGGGUGGAGCCCAGGCCUUAUGUCAGAGGAAGAGGCUGAAAGCGCCUACCCUGUCAGAACUGGACAGCUCCGACUCUGACGAUGACAUCACCAUUGGGGGUCGAAGGUCAGCCAGUAGCUCCAGUGUCUCUACAUCGGUGGUAGAUGACACAUCUCCAGAGUCUGUACUGGGCAGGAAGAGUGAGUUGACCAGAAGGCCAGACUUAGGGUUGGGGUUAGGGUUCAACCAGGGUGUGGACAUGAAGCUAGGGUUUAUUUAUUUUGUGGUAUCCAAUUGGUAGUUACAGUCUUGUCUCAUCGCUGCAACUCUUGUACGGACUCGGGAGAGGCGAAAGUCGAGAGCCGUGUGUCCUCCGAAACACAACCGAGCCAAGCCUCACUGCUUCUUGACACAAUGCCCGCUUAACCUGGAAGCCAGCCUCACCAAUGUGUUGGAGGAUCACCUGGCGGCCGU
rnacentral:lncRNA from 1 species